AUACUUACCUAGCAGUGGAGAGACCAUGAUUAUUACAGUUGUUCUCCCAGGCUGAGGCAACCCCAUUGCACUUCGAGUGUGCUGACGCCUGCAACGCCCUCAAAUGCAGGAUACUCGACUGCAAAAAUUUGUGGUAGUGGGGGACUGUGUUCACGCUGAGAUUUG